rnacentral:rRNA from 1 species
UUGAAAGGGAAACGAUUGAAGUCAGUCGUACCUUCGGGUAAUCAGCCUUUCGGGUGCGAUUCUGUGGAGCGUGGGGAGUUAAACGCCUUCAUGCCUGCAUAUUCGUGCACUUUGGGUGUACUUGCCCGUGUGGUAGGUUAACAUCAAUUUCGGAUAUCAUAAAAUGGCUGGAGGAAUGUAGCUUCGGUCUCGUACUGAAGUGUUAUAGCCUUUGGUAGAUGUGAUGACCGGGACUGAGGAUUGCAACGAAUACCUUUUGGGCUAUCCGUCUGAUCUCUGAAAGUUGCUCUGGUGCCGAAAGCUUGCUUACGGUUAUCAAAGUUGACGUUCAAAAGGUUAGAACGGGUUAAAUUCGUUAAGGAUGUUGACGUA